AUUGAACGCUGGCGGCAUGCCUUACACAUGCAAGUCGAACGGUAACAGGUCUUCGGAUGCUGACGAGUGGCGAACGGGUGAGUAAUACAUCGGAACGUGCCCAGUAGUGGGGGAUAACUACUCGAAAGAGUGGCUAAUACCGCAUGAGGUCUACGGAUGAAAGCAGGGGAUCGCAAGACCUUGUGCUACUAGAGCGGCCGAUGGCAGAUUAGGUAGUUGGUGGGAUAAAAGCUUACCAAGCCGACGAUCUGCAGCUGGUCUGAGAGGACGAUCAGCCACACUGGGACUGAGACACGGCCCAGACUCCUACGGGAGGCAGCAGUGGGGAAUUUAGGACAAUGGGCGAAAGCCUGAUCCAGCAAUGCCGCGUGCAGGAUGAAGGCCUUCGGGUUGUAAACUGCUUUUGUACGGAACGAAAAGCCCCGGGUUAAUACCCUGGGGUCAUGACGGUACCGUAAGAAUAAGCACCGGCUAACUACGUGCCAGCAGCCGCGGUAA
rnacentral:rRNA from 1 species